rnacentral:rRNA from 1 species
AGUGAACGCUGGCGGUAGGCCUAACACAUGCAAGUCGAACGGCAGCACAGUAAGAGCUUGCUCUUACGGGUGGCGAGUGGCGGACGGGUUAGGAAUACAUCGGAAUCUACUUUUUCGUGGGGGAUAACGUAGGGAAACUUACGCUAAUACCGCAUACGACCUACGGGUGAAAGCAGGGGAUCUUCGGACCUUGCGCGAUUGAAUGAGCCGAUGUCGGAUUAGCUAGUUGGCGGGGUAAAGGCCCACCAAGGCGACGAUCCGUAGCUGGUCUGAGAGGAUGAUCAGCCACACUGGAACUGAGACACGGUCCAGACUCCUACGGGAGGCAGCAGUGGGGAAUAUUGGACAAUGGGCGCAAGCCUGAUCCAGCCAUACCGCGUGGGUGAAGAAGGCCUUCGGGUUGUAAAGCCCUUUUGUUGGGAAAGAAAAGCAGCGGGUUAAUACCCCGCUGUUCUGACGGUACCCAAAGAAUAAGCACCGGCUAACUUCGUG